GUGCCAGCAGCCGCGGUAAUACGUAGGGUGCGAGCGUUGUCCGGAAUUACUGGGCGUAAAGAGCUCGUAGGUGGUUUGUCGCGUCGUCUGUGAAAUUCCGGGGCUUAACUCCGGGCGUGCAGGCGAUACGGGCAUAACUUGAGUGCUGUAGGGGAGACUGGAAUUCCUGGUGUAGCGGUGAAAUGCGCAGAUAUCAGGAGGAACACCAAUGGCGAAGGCAGGUCUCUGGGCAGUAACUGACGCUGAGGCUCGAAAGCGUGGGGAGCGAACAGGAUUAGAUACCCUGGUAGUCCACGCCGUAAACGAUGAGUGCUAAGUGUUGGAGGGUUUCCGCCCUUCAGUGCUGCAGCAAACGCAUUAAGCACUCCGCCUGGGGAGUACGACCGCAAGGUUGAAACUCAAAGGAAUUGACGGGGGCCCGCACAAGCGGUGGAGCAUGUGGUUUAAUUCGAAGCAACGCGAAGAACCUUACCAGGUCUUGACAUCCUUUGACCACUCUAGAGAUAGAGCUUUCCCUUCGGGGACAAAGUGACAGGUGGUGCAUGGUUGUCGUCAGCUCGUGUCGUGAGAUGUUGGGUUAAGUCCCGCAACGAGCGCAACCCUUAUUGUUAGUUGCCAUCAUUUAGUUGGGCACUCUAGCGAGACUGCCGGUGACAAACCANAGGAAGGUGGGGAUGACGUCAAAUCAUCAUGCCCCUUAUGACCUGGGCUACACACGUGCUACAAUGGGAAGUACNANNAGUUGCGAAGUCGCGAGGCUAANCUAAUCUCNUAAAACUUCUCUCAG
rnacentral:rRNA from 1 species